rnacentral:rRNA from 1 species
CAGUAGCCACGGUAAUACGAAGGGUGCAAGCGUUAAUCGGAAUUACUGGGCGUAAAGCGUGCGUAGGCGGUUUGUUAAGUCUGCUGUGAAAUCCCCGGGCUCAACCUGGGAAUGGCAGUGGAUACUGGCAAGCUAGAGUGUGUCAGAGGAUGGUGGAAUUCCCGGUGUAGCGGUGAAAUGCGUAGAGAUCGGGAGGAACAUCAGUGGCGAAGGCGGCCAUCUGGGACAACACUGACGCUGAGGCACGAAAGCGUGGGGAGCGAACAGGAUUAGAUACCCCCGUAGUCCCUGUCUCUUAUAC